GAUGAACGCUGGCGGCGUGCCUAAUACAUGCAAGUCGAGCGAACAGACGAGGAGCUUGCUCCUCUGACGUUAGCGGCGGACGGGUGAGUAACACGUGGAUAACCUACCUAUAAGACUGGGAUAACUUCGGGAAACCGGAGCUAAUACCGGAUAAUAUAUUGAACCGCAUGGUUCAAUAGUGAAAGACGGUUUUACUGUCACUUAUAGAUGGAUCCGCGCCGCAUUAGCUAGUUGGUAAGGUAACGGCUUACCAAGGCGACGAUGCGUAGCCGACCUGAGAGGGUGAUCGGCCACACUGGAACUGAGACACGGUCCAGACUCCUACGGGAGGCAGCAGUAGGGAAUCUUCCGCAAUGGGCGAAAGCCUGACGGAGCAACGCCGCGUGAGUGAUGAAGGUCUUCGGAUCGUAAAACUCUGUUAUUAGGGAAGAACAAAUGUGUAAGUAACUAUGCACGUCUUGACGGUACCUAAUCAGAAAGCCACGGCUAACUACGUG
rnacentral:rRNA from 1 species